GACGGAGGAUGCAAGCGUUAUCCGGAAUGAUUGGGCGUAAAGCGUCUGCAGGUGGCAGUUCAAGUCUGCUGUCAAAGACCGGGGCUUAACUUCGGAAAGGCAGUGGAAACUGAACAGCUAGAGUAUGGUAGGGGCAGAGGGAAUUCCUGGUGUAGCGGUGAAAUGCGUAGAUAUCAGGAGGAACACCGGUGGCGAAGGCGGCUUUCUGGACAGAUACCGACGCUGAGGCACGAAAGCUAGGGGAGCAAACAGG
rnacentral:rRNA from 1 species